rnacentral:rRNA from 1 species
UUCGCAAUGCCCGAAAGGGUGACGAAGCGACGCCGCGUGAGUGAGGAAGGCCUUCGGGUUGUAAAGCUCUGUCAGGAGUUAAGAAAUAUAAGUGUGCUAAUACCACAUUUAUUUGACAAAGGCUCCAAAGGAAGCCACGGCUAACUCUGUGCCAGCAGCCGCGGUAAUACAGAGGCGGCAAGCGUUGUUCGGAAUUAUUGGGCGUAAAGAGCACGUAGGUGGGUUUGUAAGUCAGAUGUGAAAGCCUUCUGUUCAACGGAAGAAUUGCAUCUGAAACUGCGAGUCUUGAGUGUAGGAGGGGAGAAUGGAACUUCUGGUGGAGCGGUGAAAUGCGUAGAUAUCAGAAGGAACGCCGGCGGCGAAAGCGAUUCUCUGGCCUAUUACUGACACUCAGUGUGCGAAAGCUAGGGGAGCAAACGGGAUUAGAUACCCCGGUAGUCCUAGCUGUAAACGAUGGGCACUAAGUAGAGGGGCUUU